CUUCCCCUUCCUCAGGGCAUCCUCAGAACUUCUCCAUCCUCAGAGCACCCCAAGGUCCUUCCCCAUCCUCAGAGCUCCCCAGUGCACAGCCAGGAUAUUCCCCAUUCUGAGAGCACCCCCAGGACCUUCCCCAUCCUCGGGGCACCUGCAGUCACAGCCAUGGGGUGAGUGGCUCUGAGGUGGGUGUGCUGGGGUGUGGAGCAGCAGGAUGGAGAUGCAGCAGGAUGGAGAUGCAGCAGCAGGAUGGAGAUGCAGCAGGAUGGAGAUGCAGCAGGAUGGAGGAGCAGCAGGAUGGAGAUGCAGCAGCAGGAUGGAGAUGCAGCAGGAUGUCAGCAGCAGCAGGAUGGAGGAGCAGUAGGAUGGAGAUGCAGGAGGAUGGAGAUGCAGCAGGAUGUCAGCAGCAGCAGGAUGUCAGCAGCAGCAGGAUGGAGGUAAAGCUGCGUGUCUGGCCUUGGUGCCCGAACCCUCCCAGCGUUGGAGGUUCUGCACAGCGUUUCCCAGCCUGGCACAGGCCCCUGGCGUGGAGCUCACGUGCAGCCACCAAGGUCAGUGACACAGAUCCCUGCAGCUGCAGCACAUCUGACACCAGCGUCCAGCCAGGCUGUGCUGGAAGCUGAACCCGUUGCUCCCACUACAGAAGGUGUUUGAGGGCCCCGGGGGUUUGUUUGAACUCUCUUUCUCAUCCACAGCAGAGACUUGUCCCUCCCUUUUCUCACACCAAUGCCCAACAAUCUGGCUUUGGGCAGGGACAAGUUUCUGUUGAAGCCUUCUUUGCUCCUGUCCUCAGGAAAGAGGGAUGAGAAAGCAGCCCCACCAUGCCCAAGGAGAAGCAGAGAAAUCUCGAGAUUAAAAAGCUUUAAUGAAAUAUCUCUGGAAUGCCAGCCCCAGAGAGGCCUCAUCACCUUCCUUGGGCCAUGCCCUUGCCACAGCCAGGGUGCUUUGCCUGUGCUCUGCCUGCCCAGGGAGGCUGCCACGCUCAGUGCCACAGCUCCUGAGGGCAGGAAUGGAAAUGGAAAACAGCUCCCAGCACUUCUCAGCGGGACUUGCAGCUCAGCCAGCCCCAGUACUGCUGUGAGCCUUCCUCAUCUCCAGUCUCCAGCAGGUGUGAGCUGCCCGUGGUUCCCAACACAUCCUGUGCCCUCCAGGCACGAGGGCUGUGAGAGUCCUGGGAGCUGUUUUGGGUACUGCUACAAGACAAAUUGCCUGUGCAGAAGUGUUUACAGUGUUGUCUGGCCUGACUUCUUCCUUAUUCUGAACAUGUGCCUGGCAAGUUCAGGAGGAAAUUCAGGUCAGGUACUGACUACACCUGUCUGUCACAGCUGUGUGGGAAUCUCAUGGAGCAUCCCAGAAUCCCAGAGCCACCAGGAAUGUGGGAAGAGCCCUUCAGGAUCACCCAGUGCCAUGCAGCAGCAGCAGCAUCACCCCAACCCCUGUCCCCAAGGGCCAGAUCCAGACUGGCUGAGCACUCCCCCAGACAGUGACUGCAAACCUCCCUGGGCAGCUCAUCCCACAAAAUUAUUUCCAAUCUCCACCCUGAGCCUGCCCUGGUGCAAUUUGAGGCCAUUUCCUCUGCUCCUUUCACUGCCCCUCCUGUCAGGGAGUUGUGCAGAGCCACAAGGUCCCCCUGAGCCUCCUUUUCUCCAGGCUGAGCCCCUUCCCAGCUCCCAGGCUGAGCCCCUGCCCAGCUCCCUCAGCCCCUCCUGGGGCUCCAGCCCUGCCCUCUCCUGCCCUGUCUAUCCCUUUAAGGAAGCUCAGGAUGAUCCCCAAAUCACCACUUAUCUAAGGUGUCCACCAGGUCCGAGCUCCCUUGAAUUUCACAAGCUUGGUUUUUCCUGCAAAAGCAUCCAAAGACUGCAGGAAAUGUAAUAUUUAAUAUUUAAAGCACAGGGUUAGAGAGGAUGGUCUGAACAACAAGUGGUGGCCAUGGCCUGAAUGCUCAGUAAGGAAAUAAAAACUCCCCUAACAGAGAUUUUAUUUAAGUAAUAAGUGUCAAAAUGUCCUGACUUUUUCAUGCUGGAAUUUGGGCAAACCACCCUCUCUGCAUCCUGGUGUCUAUCCCACCUGUCCCUAUCCCAAAAAGCAGCACAGAGAGCAUGGAAAAAUAAUUUCACUCUUAAUACAUCACCCUUUGUAAUAAAGCACAAGGUAAAAAUAUGUCCUCAUGAAUUCCAUAUGCAUAUACAAAUACAGGUUUUCUUUGGGAAAGAUUUUGGGAAUGGUUGAGGGUUGUAGCAGAGUGGGGCUCUGCUGCCAGGGAACAGGGACAGGACAAGGGGAAAUGUCCUCAAACUGUGCCAGGGCAGGCUCAGGUUGGACACCAGGAGCAAUUUCCUCAUGGAAAAGGUGGUCAGGCCUUGGAAGGGGGUCACAGCUUGGGCUCAAUGAUCUGGGAGGGUUUUUCCACUGUGCCAGGGCAGGCUCAGGUUGGACACCAGGAGCAAUUUCCUCAUGGAAAAGGUGGUCAGGCCUUGGAAGGGGGUCACAGCUUGGGCUCAAUGAUCUGGGAGGGUUUUUCCAACCUCAAUAAUUCUGGGAUUCCAUGAAAAAAAUGUCCUGCAAUGUCUCAGAGGCUCCUGAAAAAGAAACUGGCUGGGUGUGGCAGGGUUAAGGGGGAAAAUGAAAGACAAAAAAUGGCACUUUUAGAAGCUCAAAAUCACCAGUCAGAGCCUCUCUAACCACAGCUAUUUUGGGUUUUAGCAGUCUCUUGAUUAGGCUGGACUAAACCUCGUUUUGCAGCAGGUCCUCUGUGCACCACACAAAGCCAAUCCUCUCCUCUUACUAAAAACUUGAGUUUCCACCUAUGACACAUUGUUCAAUAUCAAAAGAAAAUCAGAAUUUAUCACAGUUUUAGGACUGGGAUGUUGGUUACCUCCAGCCCCAGAUCAGGAGAGGUAUUUGGAAGUGCUGGUAGAAAGCAGGGAUUGCCUGUGGAGAGAGGAAUUGCCCUGCAGUGAGGUUUUGUUUGCCUGGCUAUGGGCAGGGGUGUAGGACAGGUGCAGGCCUGUUCUCCCUGCUAUUUCCUCACUGCUCCAGGAGGUUUGUCCAUAAACACCACAUAUUUCAGGUGGGUUUAGGAUUUAGGGCUGGGAUCUAAUGAGAGUAUGCAAGAGAGAUGGAAAAAGGAAAGGGAGGAGAAUAGAUGGGAAAAGACUGGGAUGAAGAAAGGCUGGAUUUGAGGAAGGUUAGGACAGAGAAAUGGUGGGGUAGUAGGAAGAUGAAUGAG
ensembl:lncRNA